CAAGCACACACCAUCAUGCCUGGCUUAUUUUUAUUUUUUGUAGAGAUGGAGUCCCACUAUGUUGCCCAGGCUGGUCUUGAACUCCUGGCCUCAAGCAAUCCUCCCACCUCGGCCUCUCGAGGUGUUGGGAUUCCAGGUGUGAGUCACCACCCCUGGCCUUAGAAAUUUUCAUUGCCAAAUGAACAUCGUUUCCCCAGGCUGGUGUUAGGAAACUGGGGGAUCCUGUGUUCUCUCCAGCACUGGGUUUUCCUGAGCAGAAAAUGAGCCUUAUCGUGUACUCGGAAUUGUCAGAUAUUUGUAGAGCCAGAAAACAUCUUAAAAAUCAUGUUGCCUCAUUGCUUUUUGCAGGUGAGGAUGUCAAGACUUGGAGUACAUGACAGUUGGCCUUGGGCUUCGGUGGCCAGCCCAUGACUACAAAAGCCCAAGAAGCCAGCGAGUCCCCCGGCUCCUUCCACCAAGUGGCCUCUGGGUGAUGGGGAAGCUUGUCCUCUGCUUUGUCACACACAAAACUCUAAAAGUCAGGAUCCCAACGCAUCGGCCUGGAGAGCCCAUGCAGGAUGGACACUCUGCUGGGAGAUGUGGGAAAGGGUCUGCAAGUGGCCCCUCCCCUGUCAUCUGAAUCUUUCAUUUGGUCUUGGCAGCCCCAAAUGUGGCUUCACCCCAAAGAUUGGGCUCUCAGCCUCCGGUCCAGUCCCAGAGGCAAGCUGAGUGGGUCUCCCCACUCCCUCCAAAGACAAGGCAACUGGUGUCCGAGUCAUCCUCUGAGUGUAAACCUAUUUCCUAAGCAAAAGCCCCUCCGUCAUGGAAAACCAUCCACGAGCUAUGGUCCUCCCCAGGCUGCCUGUGGGACCCAGGAAGGCCUGCAUGAAGUCAGGAUUGGAGCUUGUUGGGAGCCUGCUACUUAUCAACUCCUGUGCUCCAGCCUGGGCGACAGAGCGAGACUCUGUCUUGAAAAUAAAUAAGUAAAUAAAUAAAUAACCUGCUCCUGUCUUUAUCUAGACUUUAAAAAAUCUCUUGCUCAUGUUGACUUGUCUGCAGUAAUUUGUAUUUUUAAAAACACUGCACUAAAAUAUUAUUUAUGUUGAGUACUGUUUUUUUUUUUUUUUUUUUUUGACACCCCUCCUUAAAUUUUGCACACACAGCCUCACCCUAGUCCCUGGCCUGAGCCAUAUCCGCUUUCCACCGGUCUCCCAUUUUAUUUUGAGACAAGGGCUCACUGUCACCCAGGCUGGCGUUCAGUGGCAUGAUCAUGGCUCACUGCAGCCUCAACCCACUGGGCUCAAGUGAUCCUCCUGCCUCAGCUUCCCAAGUAGCUGGGACUACAGGCAUGUACCACCGCGACUAGCUUUGUUUUUUAAUUGUAGAGAUAGGGUCUCUCUGUGUUGCUCAGGCUGGUUUCCAACUCCUGGUCUCAAGCGAUCCUCCUGCCUCGGCCUCCCAAAGUGCUGGGAUUACAGGCUCGAGCCACCACUCCCGGUCCUGGAUACUUUUAAUUUUGCAGCUGGAGAAGGGGACACAAGGGGAAGGAGGAUUUGUUGAAAUUAAAGUGCACUGCGAGAAAGAAUGUGUCACUAGCAUCCUCCUUUUGCCUGCGCGGGGGCCUCUGGCAGCACCCCCUCCCUCGCCAAGCCCAGCCUCUGCACAGGCUCCAGGAGACGCUGCUCCGGGUCCUGCGGUGGACCCCGGGCUGCACCCCCGUCGGUCGCCGCACAGAUGCGCACUUGGAGCAGGUUCUGGUUCUGGGGCUGGGGAAGCAUAAAUCGGGGCUCCAAACCCUACUGUAAGGCUCUUUAGGGCGCCAGCUCCGCAGAGGCAGGAGCCGCCGCACACGUGCGCGCCCGAAACUGCUAAAGCUCACUCGCGAGCUUGACCGCCGCGCCCUGGCGGCCGCUCCCCACGAGCUGACCUGGCUGACCCAGUGCCGCCGCUGCGCCUUCAAAGGGCGGCCGCAUCCUGUGGCCCCGGGGCGGCCCUCCUCGUCACGGGGCGGACGUCCCCGCCGUCACCUCCUUUGCCCUCGGUCGGGAGGGCGCCCCCCCUCCACUGCACUACCGGGCCGAGCUGGGCAGACCUCCAUCCUUCC
rnacentral:lncRNA from 1 species